CCCCCACAUUGGAACUGAGACACGGUCCAAACUCCUACGGGAGGCAGCAGUGAGGAAUAUUGGUCAAUGGGCGAGAGCCUGAACCAGCCAAGUCGCGUGAAGGAUGAAGGUUCUAUGGAUUGUAAACUUCUUUUGUCCGAGGGUAAAGGAGUCCACGUGUGGAUUUUUGCAAGUAUCGGACGAAUAAGCAUCGGCUAACUCCGUGCCAGCAGCCGCGGUAAUACGGAGGAUGCGAGCGUUAUCCGGAUUUAUUGGGUUUAAAGGGUGCGUAGGUGGUUUGUUAAGUUUGUGGUGAAAGCGUGCGGCUCAACCGUACCAAGCCAUGAAAACUGGCGAACUUGAGUGCAAACGAGGUAGGCGGAAUGUGAUGUGUAGCGGUGAAAUGCUUAGAUAUGUCACAGAACCCCGAUUGCGAAGGCAGCUUACCAGCAUGCAACUGACACUGAGGCACGAAAGCGUGGGUAUCAAACAGGAUUAGAUACCCUGGUAGUCCACGCAGUAAACGAUGAAUACUAGCUGUUGGCGAUAUAAUGUCAGCGGUACAGCGAAAGUGUUAAGUAUUCCUCAAAGGAAUUGACGGGGGCCCGCACAAGCGGAGGAACAUGUGGUUUAAUUCGAUGAUACGCGAGGAACCUUACCCGGGCUUGAAAGUUAGUGACGGCGGAUGAAAGUCUGCUUCCCUUCGGGGCACGAAACUAGGUGCUGCAUGGUUGUCGUCAGCUCGUGCCGUGAGGUGUCGGCUUAAGUGCCAUAACGAGCGCAACCCUUGCCGUUAGUUGCCAGCGGGUGAUGCCGGGAACUCUAGCGGGACUGCUACUGUAAGGUAGAGGAAGGUGGGGAUGACGUCAAAUCAGCACGGCCCUUACGUCCGGGGCGACACACGUGUUACAAUGGUGAGUACAGAGGGUUGCUACCCCGCGAGGGGAUGCUAAUCUCAUAAAACUCAUCUCAGUUCGGAUCGGAGUCUGCAACUCGACUCCGUGAAGCUGGCGAAGCUGGAUUCGCUAGUAAUCGCGCAUCAGCCAUGGCGCGGUGAAUACGUUCCCGGGCCUUGUACACACCGCCCGUCAAGCCAUGAAAGCCGGGGGUACCUGAAGUCCGUAACCGCAAGGAGCGGCCUAGGGUAAAACUGGUAAUUGGGGCUAAGUCGUAACAAGGUAGCCGUACCGGAAGGUGCGGCUGGAACACCUCCUU
rnacentral:rRNA from 1 species